CGGCAACAGCUCAAAUUUGAAAUCUGGCCUCUCGGGGUCCGAGUUGUAAUUUGUAGAGGAUGUUUUGGGUACCGCCCCGGUCUAAAUUUCUUGGAACAGGGCGUCAUAGAGGGUGAGAAUCCCGUCUUUGACACGG
rnacentral:rRNA from 1 species